rnacentral:rRNA from 1 species
CCAGACUCCUACGGGAGGCAGCAGUGGGGAAUAUUGCACAAUGGGCGAAAGCCUGAUGCAGCAACGCCGCGUGAAGGAAGAAGGGUUUCGGCUCGUAAACUUCUAUCAACAGGGACGAAAGAAAUGACGGUACCUGAAUAAGAAGCCCCGGCUAACUACGUGCCAGCAGCCGCGGUAAUACGUAGGGGGCAAGCGUUAUCCGGAUUUACUGGGUGUAAAGGGAGCGUAGACGGCGGCGCAAGCCAGAUGUGAAAGCCCGGGGCUCAACUCCGGGACUGCAUUUGGAACUGUGUGGCUGGAGUGUCGGAGAGGCAGGCGGAAUUCCUAGUGUAGCGGUGAAAUGCGUAGAUAUUAGGAGGAACACCAGUGGCGAAGGCGGCCUGCUGGACGAUGACUGACGUUGAGGCUCGAAAGCGUGGGGAGCAAACAGGAUUAGAUACCCCCGUAC